AUGGAGGGCGAGAGGCAGCAGCCGCCGGCGGCUGCCGCCGCCGCCUCCAAGGUGCUGGACGACGACGACCUCCUCGCGGAGAUCCUCCUCCGCGUAGCCCUCCCCACCACCCUCCUCCGCGCCGCGCUCGUCUGCAAGCGCUGGCUGGGGCACGCGUCGGGCCGCGCCUUCCUCCGCCGCUCCCGCAAGCUCCACCCGCCCCGCCUCCUCGGCUUCUACGUCGAGGGCGACAGGGACGUCCCGGCCGACCCGCCGGCCUUCGUCCCGGUGCUGCCCCAGCCCGCAGAGCUCGCCGCCGUCCUCCGCCGCGCGAGCUUCAGCUUCGACAUCUACAACGGCCAAUUGGUCCAGAUCCACGACUGCCGGAACGGCAGCGUCUUCGUCCAGGUCGGGAGCGAGGGCAGGGCGGUCAUGAGGGUGCACACCCCGCUGUGCCCUCGGAGACCCGUCGCCUUCAUCCCGCCGCUCCCGCGCCCCGCACUCCGGCCCCGUGGUCUCUGCAGCUUCACGCAGAUCCUCUCCACGGAGGAAAGGGGCGGCCUUUCCUACCACUACCUGUACGUGGAGUCUACCGUGGACGAACCAGAAACCAGGCUGCACGUAUACGUGCUGCAAGAUGGUCUCUGGCUCCCGCGUCCUCCCUUGGACAUGCACCAGCUCCCUCGUCCACUACUCCAGCCAAGGCCCGUGCUCGUCGACGGGAGAAUUUACAUGCCGGCGGGCGUGAGCGACAUCGUCGUCCUGGAUCUGACGGCCUCGAGCUUCUCCACGAUCCAACUCCCACGGGGCGCCAAGCACGACGGGUGCGGCGCCACCAUGCUGGCACGGGCUCACGAUGCUUCCGGCGUGUAUUUCAUCCUCGUCGAGGAGUUUCGGCUCCUCAUCUGGCUCCACAAGGGGGGCAACUGGUCGCUGGUGGACACCAUUUGUUUGCGCGAGAUGUGUCCUGGUUUGAGGGUUUUAGGCUGCACGGCUGAGGAUGAGGAAAGUGGUCUUGUCAUAAGACGGGUGGGGAAUGAUGCUGAGUUUGUGCUCUUGCAGAUGGGCCGGUGUGCGCUCCACUUGGAUACCAGGUGCAGGACGCUGCGUAAGGUGUAUGAGCAGACGGAAGAGCAUCAGUGUUUUGGUGAUAUCCAUCCCUUUAUGAUGAUCUGGCAUCCCACGUUCCCCGCACUCCGGGGUGAUCAUGCAAGAGAUGCAAUGUGA
rnacentral:rRNA from 1 species